GCAAGUCGAACGGCAGCACGAAGAGCUUGCUCUUUGGUGGCGAGUGGCGGACGGGUGAGUAAUACUUAGGAAUCUAUCCAGUAGUUGGGGAUAACGUGGGGAAACUCACGCUAAUACCGAAUACGCACUAUGGUGGAAAGAGGGGGCUCUUCGGACCUCUCGCUAUCGGGUGAGCCUAAGCCGGAUUAGCUAGUUGGUAGGGUAAAAGCCUACCAAGGCGACGAUCCGUAGCUGGUCUGAGAGGAUGAUC
rnacentral:rRNA from 1 species